ensembl:snRNA U6 U6 spliceosomal RNA
GUGCUUGCUUCCGCAGCGCAUAUUCUGACAUUGGAAUGAUACAGAGAAGAUAAGCAGGGCCCCUGUGCAAGGAUGGCAUGCACGUCUGUGAAGUGCUCCCUGUUUUU